ACGGCAGCUCCAGCACCUCCUCGGGGGAGUGGUACGAGAAUGUGCAGGAGACGGAGCCCCCUGGAGACCCCUCCUCACAUCCUGGCUGGUCAGAUCCAUCCUGUCCCUCGGGGGAACACGUGGAGGAUCCCGACUUUUCCGAGGGCAGCGACUACGACGACAUCCAUGGCUCUGCCUACUGAGCCUGUCCCACCACUCCAGAGGCCAAAUCUCCUGGAAUUCUCUGGCCAUCUCCUCCAGAAUUCUCCAACUGUCUCCUCUGAGCUGCCAAUAAAAUUAAAUAAUUCC